AACGCGAAGAACCUUACCUGGGCUCGAACGGCUUCAGACCGUCGUGGAAACACGAUCUUCCCCUUAAAAGGACUGGAGUCGAGGUGCUGCAUGGCUGUCGUCAGCUCGUGUCGUGAGAUGUUGGGUUAAGUCCCGCAACGAGCGCAACCCUUGUCCUGUGUUGCCAUCAUUCAGUUGGGCACUCUCGGGAGACCGCCAGCGAUAAGUUGGAGGAAGGUGGGGAUGAUGUCAAGUCAUCAUGGCCUUUAUGUCCAGGGCUACACACGUGCUACAAUGGACGGUACAAACCGCUGCAAACCCGCGAGGGAGAGCUAAUCGGAAAAAACCGUUCUCAGUUCGGAUCGCAGGCUGCAACUCGCCUGCGUGAAGCUGGAAUCGCUAGUAAUGCCGUAUCAGAACGACGGCGUGAAUACGUUCCCGGGCCUUGUA
rnacentral:rRNA from 1 species